rnacentral:rRNA from 1 species
GAUGAACGCUGGCGGCGUGCCUAAUACAUGCAAGUCGAGCGAACAGACGAGGAGCUUGCUCCUCUGACGUUAGCGGCGGACGGGUGAGUAACAUGUGGAUAACCUACCUAUAAGACUGGGAUAACUUCGGGAAACCGGAGCUAAUACCGGAUAAUAUAUUGAACCGCAUGGUUCAAUAGUGAAAGACGGUUUUGCUGUUACUUAUAGAUGGAUCCGCGCCGCAUUAGCUAGUUGGUAAGGUAACGGCUAACCAAGGCAACGAUGCGUAGCCGACCUGAGAGGGUGAUCAGCCGCACUGGAACUGAGACACGGUCCAGACUCCUACGGGAGGCAGCAGUAGGGAAUCUUCCGCAAUGGGCGAAAGCCUGACGGAGCAACGCCGCGUGAGUGAUGAAGGUCUUCGGAUCGUAAAGCUCUUUUAUUAGGGAAGAACAAAUGUGUAAGAAACUAUGCACGUCUUGACGGUACCUAAUCAAUAAGCCACGGCUAACUACGUG